rnacentral:rRNA from 1 species
ACACGCAUGACACACUGCAUAUCAAUAAGCGGAGGAAAAGAAACUAACAAGGAUUCCCCUAGUAACGGCGAGUGAAGCGGGAAGAGCUCAAAUUUGAAAUCUUCAAGGGUUUCCCUUGACGAAUUGUAGUUUAAAGAAGUGUUUUCGGUUAGAGGAGUAGUAAAAGUUCUUUGGAAUAGGACAUCAUAGAGGGUGAGAAUCCCGUAUUUGGUCAUUCUUUCUAGCUUUGUGAUACACUUUCAACGAGUCGGAUUGUUUGGGAAUGCAGUCCAAAAUGGGUGGUAAAUUUCAUCUAAAGCUAAAUAUUGGCGAGAGACCGAUAGCGAACAAGUACCGUGAGGGAAAGAUGAAAAGAACUUUGAAAAGAGAGUUAAACAGUACGUGAAAUUGUCAAAAGGGAAGCGUUUGACACCAGUGUUGUUUAGUUGAAAAUCAAUUCAAUAAUUUUUGAUUUUGAGUAGUAUUGACUUCAUCAGCUUGCUGCUUUCUUUUCCGAAAUUAUUGAAUGCACUUUUCAGUUAACAAGUCAACAUCAAUUUCUUUUGUUGUAAAAGGGUAAGAGGAAGGUGGCUUACGCUUCGGCGUAAGUGUUUAUAGCCUUUUACCUCUGCAAUCGGAGAGAUUGAGGACAGCAGCGUAGACUCUUCGGGGUUAGAUACACUUGUGCUAAGCUAUAGCCUUGUAUAGACAACUUGUUGACUAUGCUCAGUCAUGUAGCUUACUCGCUUGUGCUAUUUUACCUACGCUUAGGAUGUUGAGCGCAUGUCUCUCUCU